GAUGAACGCUGGCGGCGUGCCUAAUACAUGCAAGUCGAGCGAACGGACGAGAAGCUUGCUUCUCUGAUGUUAGCGGCGGACGGGUGAGUAACACGUGGAUAACCUACCUAUAAGACUGGGAUAACUUCGGGAAACCGGAGCUAAUACCGGAUAAUAUUUUGAACCGCAUGGUUCAAAAGUGAAAGACGGUCUUGCUGUCACUUAUAGAUGGAUCCGCGCUGCAUUAGCUAGUUGGUAAGGUAACGGCUUACCAAGGCAACGAUGCAUAGCCGACCUGAGGGGGGGACCGGCCACACUGGACCGGAGCCACGACCCAGCCUCCAAGGGAAGGCGCAGGAGGGGAUCUCUCCGAAAGGGGCGAAAGCCUGACGGAGAAACGCGGGGGGAGGGAUGAGGGUCUGCGGAUCGAAAAACUUGUUUAUUGGGGAAAAACUUAUGUGAAAGUAAGUGUGCACUCCUGGCCGGUCCCAAAUCAGAAAGCCCCGGCAACCUCCGUC
rnacentral:rRNA from 1 species